CCAGACUCCUACGGGAGGCAGCAGUGGGGAAUAUUGCACAAUGGGGGGAACCCUGAUGCAGCGACGCCGCGUGAGUGAAGAAGUAUUUCGGUAUGUAAAGCUCUGUCAGCAGGGAAGAAGAAAGACGGUACCUGACCAAGAAGCCCCGGCUAACUACGUGCCAGCAGCCGCGGUAAUACGUAGGGGGCAAGCGUUAUCCGGAUUUACUGGGUGUAAAGGGGGCGCAGACGGCGAUGCAAGCCAGGAGUGAAAGCCCGGGGCCCAACCCCGGGACUGCUCGUGGAACUGCGUGGCUGGAGUGCAGGAGGGGCAGGCGGAAUUCCUGGUGUAGCGGUGAAAUGCGUAGAUAUCAGGAGGAACACCGGUGGCGAAGGCGGCCUGCUGGACUGCAACUGACGUUGAGGCCCGAAAGCGUGGGGAGCAAACAGGAUUAGAUACCCUGGUAA
rnacentral:rRNA from 1 species